rnacentral:rRNA from 1 species
AGCGAACGCUGGCGGCGUGCCUAACACAUGCAAGUCGAACGUGAAAAGGGAAACCUGAGUACAGUGGCGUACGGGUGAGUAACGCGUAGGUAAUCUACCCCAGAAUCUGGAAUAACCUGCCGAAAGGCGGGCUAAUACUGGAUAGAGCGAGGGAACUCGUAAGAGAGUUUUUCGGGAAAGGGAGCCCGCAAGGGCCUUCGUUCUGGGAUGAGCCUGCGUCUCAUUAGCUAGUUGGUAAGGUAACGGCUUACCAAGGCGAUGAUGAGUAGCUGGACUGAGAGGAUGAUCAGCCACACUGGAACUGAAACACGGUCCAGACUCCUACGGGAGGCAGCAGUGGGGAAUCUUGCGCAAUGGACGAAAGUCUGACGCAGCCACGCCGCGUGAGUGAAGAAGGCCUUCGGGUUGUAAAGCUCUGUCGGAUGGGACGAACAUCUUCAUAGUGAAUAGCUAGGAGGACUGACGGUACCAUCAAAGGAAGCACCGGCUAACUCCGUG